UACGGAGGGGGCUAGCGUUGUUCGGAAUUACUGGGCGUAAAGCGCACGUAGGCGGCUUUGCAAGUUAGAGGUGAAAGCCCGGGGCUCAACUCCGGAAUUGCCUUUAAAACUGCAUCGCUAGAAUUGUGGAGAGGUAAGUGGAAUUCCGAGUGUAGAGGUGAAAUUCGUAGAGAUCGGGAAGAACAUCGGUGGCGAAGGCGCUCUACUGGACCACAACUGACACUCAGGGACGAAAGCUAGGGGAGCGAAUGGG
rnacentral:rRNA from 1 species